ensembl:ncRNA K10D6.22 ncRNA
CGGAAACAACAGCCGAUUUUUGAACACAUGGUCAAAUCGGUUGGAAUUGAGCGGAAGAGCGGGGAGGGGUCGUCCAUCCAAAUUAGUGGCAUCAUCGUCACUCACCGCAUUCCGCGAAUUAUUUCUCUUCGAUCAUUUCUUU